GAUGAACGCUGGCGGCGUGCCUAAUACAUGCAAGUCGAGCGAACGGACGAGAAGCUUGCUUCUCUGAUGUUAGCGGCGGACGGGUGAGUAACACGUGGAUAACCUACCUAUAAGACUGGGAUAACUUCGGGAAACCGGAGCUAAUACCGGAUAAUAUUUUGAACCGCAUGGUUCAAAAGUGAAAGACGGUCUUGCUGUCACUUAUAGAUGGAUCCGCGCUGCAUUAGCUAGUUGGUAAGGUAACGGCUUACCAAGGCAACGAUGCAUAGCCGACCUGAGAGGGUGAUCGGCCACACUGGAACUGAGACACGGUCCAGACUCCUACGGGAGGCAGCAGUAGGGAAUCUUCCGCAAUGGGCGAAAGCCUGACGGAGCAACGCCGCGUGAGUGAUGAAGGUCUUCGGAUCGUAAAACUCUGUUAUUAGGGAAGAACAUAUGUGUAAGUAACUGUGCACAUCUUGACGUUACCUAAUCAGAAAGCCACGGCUAACUACGUG
rnacentral:rRNA from 1 species